rnacentral:SRP_RNA from 1 species
GCCGAGCUAUAAUGGUGCAGCCUGUAGGCCCAGCUACUCAAGGAGGCUGAGGCAGGAGAAUGCAUUGAACCCGGGAGGCGGAAGUUGUGGUGAGCCGAAUACGCAGUUGCACUCCAGCCUGGGCAACAAGAGCUAGACUCGUCUCAAAAAAAAAAAAAAAAAAAGUGAUGCCCUCUUAGAAGCCAGAGACCACUAGGCUGCCUUAGGUGGGGUGAAUAGGCCCAGGUCAGAAAUGGAGCAGGUCAAAACUCCUGUGCUGAUCAGUAGUGGGAUAGUGCCUAUGAAUCACCACUGCACUCCAGCCUGGGCAACAUAGUGAGAUUCUGUCUCAA